UACAGCUUGCAUGGUUAUAUCCCUGUGUCUCCUUCUAUUCAAGUGAUUGCUCAGUAAAAUCACCCACACAAAAUUCUCUGUCCCUCUUUGCCAAUGUGGAACAUGAAGUCUUUUAAAGUGGACUUGUAAGAACAAAUACAUAAGCAACCAUCUGGUUCCUGGGAUCUGUGUCAAUGGGCAUAAAGUAGAUAUAUCAGCUAGGGGAGCAUGUUUGGGCUGUUCUUAGAUCCUAAUGUUAAGCUGCAAAAUCAGACUUCCCAAAGGGAAGAAAGAUAUUGAUAAGGCAUCUAAUCAGUUGUGGAAAGUUCUUUCAGAUUCAGUGCUAAAUUGUGUGCUGGGUGUCAUUCAGUCAGGCAGAAUUGAGUUGUCUUCCUGCUCCAAGCCAACAAGAGCUCAGGUCAGUACUCUCAACAAGUUGCUACUACUCCAGUUAAUACAGUCUGACCCCCUACGAGGUUUAAUUCCUUAGAUUUAGAAUAAUGUUAUCUAUCUCCACACAGCUUUCUGUCAGUCCAGGCCACGAAAAGAAAAAAUAAUAGUCUAGCCACAGAAUAUAGCACUAACUUUAAAUUAUGUCUAGUUUGUUGUUAAAAGAAUGGGGCUGCAUUCAUCUUAAAGGUAAUACUCUGAACGUUUGCAGUGAUUUACUGCAUAAUAAAAUAUUUAAUUUGAUAAUACUUCUGUAGCUCACAGCCUGGAUUAGAAAGAUUUAUUCAAGUCCAAUGCAGACGUCUCUUCUGCCCUGUGCAACUUCUUACUCCAUCCUUAUCAGCGUACAAAUGAGUGAAUUCAAACAGUGUGCUGAGCAUACAUGGGUGCUGCAAAGGAUAGCUGAGUAUGAGGACAAGGGUACUUUCUGUGUUUACACCUGUAUUUAGAAAUGUGUAUAUACACACAUGCUGGUAAGCUUUGAUUCAGAGAAGUCAAUUGAAUGUGAGAAAAAGUGCAAUUUAUUGGGUCUUCGAUUCAAAGGAAGUUAAUUUCAGGGUUCUCUAAAGAGCCUGUUCUUGCAUACCAGCUCUCCCUUCCCAGAAAAGUCCAAUUUCCUGCCUGUGUAGUCCUAACCUUCCUGUGGAACGCUUGGGAAGCAGACUUCAGCCAGCUACCUGCAGUGCUCAGUGAAUAAGGACAGUGACAGGGCACCACUCAAGAGACACUAUGAUGCAACUCUAUGAAGAAAGCCUUCAACUACUGUAAUAGCUGUAAUACAUCAGCAGUCUUGCCCAAAUCCAGCAACUGUGAGCACUGAAGAAGCCCCACAGAAUCUUUUCUGGAUUCCAAAGAAACUUCCUCUAGCAUCUUGGAGGCUAUUAGGUCUGCUCCAACUCGAAGAAAGUUCCUAUGUUUCUCAAGAUGCCACUCCUAUUAUCAAAAUCUACAUCCCUGGGCAGAACCAAAGCAUCUCCCACAAGAAGCUGCUUUUAAGCCAAGCAGAUGGUCCUUCAUCCCCCAGUACCCAGCACACUGCAAUGCUCUGGCCAGGAGGACACAGACAGCUGGGUUUCCCAGCCCCUGUCAAGUCACAAUUUAAAAAAAUGUUCCACUUUUGUAUAGAAAAUCAAGUAAGCUGAAUGUCCAUCACAAGAAAACUGGCAAAUCUGCAAAAAAACCACCGGGUGAUGAAAGACAGACUUCACUGCUCUCUGACCAAAAGGGAGGUAUUUUCACCAGUGUGGGAGGUGGGGAGAGGGAAUUGCUUGUACAACUCAAAUUGUUUUGCUGAAAAUGCAAAGUAACCAAUAACUCAAGACAUAAAGUACCUUCAGUAACCAGGAAAGUGUUUGGAGACUCAUAAGCAAGGCAGUCCCUUGUGAGAGCAUCUGCAUCCACCCAACUGUUUCAGAACCCCAUUUGCAGGACCAGACAUAAAAGGCAUCCUUCAGGGAGAAGAGGACAUACAGAGGACACACAUCAACACUGAUGACUAGCCCUUUUACAACCAACAAAGCCCUGGCUAACACAUCACAUCAGGUGUUACCUUAUGACACAACUACUUCCAUGGUUUUUGACCAGUUAACCAGAAACAGCUAAGCACAGGUCUGUGCCACACAGGGAUGCAAACAGUUAAUAGCUACAAGCUGUGUGGCUGAGACAUACAGGUAGACCAGGACAAAGGCAGAUAUUCCUCAGGGUUAUCAGGCCAUGGUAUAUAGUUCUUGGACCAUAUUCAGUGGCAAUAUAUAAAAGCUUUUUACCUCCCUUCCUCUUAAUCCUGCAAUAUUCACUGCUCCCUGUCUAACUAUAAGGGCUGGGGCAACAGCUCCACAAGGAAUUUACACAGGUAUGGACAAGAAGAGCAAAGAUGGGAUGAGGGAAAGGAAAGCAUACAUUCACUUGAAAAUGACAGCUGGGUGUAUCCUUUGUACUCAGGGACACUUCCACCAGCCACUAGUCUCCUCUCACACAGCUGCUUCCCAGUCCUUGAACCAAGCCACUCCAGCCAGCCAUUCACCCUGGGAGGAAGUCCACAUUGAUUGAGUCCCCUUAUUGGACCCCCAAGCUUUAAAAUACUCUUUCCAAGUGUUUUAAGACAAGGUGUUUCUUUUCUCGAAAUGGAAAAGAAAGCCUAUUGUCAUUAAGAUAAAAGGUCCAAUCUGCAUCUUUCUUUUGCUCAGUACCUCUCCAUACUGGGAGGGAUGCCAAGGAGCAGGAUAACAUUUUAAGCCUGUGUAAACACUCUGCUACCAGCAGUUCCCUAAACUUGUCUGCUUCCUAUCAGUGCUCUUUAGGUAAAGAGUAACCAUCUGCCUGAAAGAAUUAUUGUUCCUCACUGCUAUGUAAAAAGCCAAGUUGCUUAUUUUUAUCUAAUGGCACUUCCUUCAUAUUUCUUUUAGACCUAGUUCUGUUAGUCUUGGGAGACAGUAUCUCUGUGAAUAGUUUAACUCUUCUCAAGCCAAUUAACAACAUGAAUGAGAUGACAAGUUUUCACAGCCAAUCUCACAAGGCAGCCUGACAUCUUGUUGAUUGGUGCAGUGUCCCCAGUGUCUCCAGGAGAAGGUGCUGGGAGAACUGAGGAGGCUCUGCUGUACUCUACUUCUGUUGCACCCUUCAACAAAUCCACCAUGCCCCAGCUUUUCAGCCUCAGGCUGGGACUAAGUGUUUUUGCUCCUUAAAAAAUCUGUUGUUGGGAUGAAACGUGAUGAGGUAUGUUAAAAUCUCCUGGAAAGAGCUGCAGGUUUGUAAAAUCUUGGUUUGUAUUUGUGACUUUGGCUAGUAUAAAUACAUAAUUGCAAUUAAGUAACAGAGACAUAGGAUUUACCUUUGAAUCAGAGCAUGAACUAUGACCCACAAAUUCCAGAGUGAUUACAAAAUAUCUAAUGAACUUCAUCUACUACCAAGUGCUCAGAAAUUUAAUGUUGGUCUGAUAACAUAAGGAUUAGGAGGGGUCUUGGAAGAAACUCCUGUGACUUUGCCUCCUUCAUAGGUACCCAUUGCUUGAGAGAUACAGAUUAUGGUUUCCAGGGUAACUAGAUGCACACAUACACAUACACA